CACAAAAUGAAAGACUAUACCAAGCGAGAAUUUCUGGUAUUUUGUUAUUUCUUAAUAUUUUUCGUGGUUCUCUGCAACAAGAUCUAAUGUUCCACUUUACCCCAAUGACACAGUUCCAAAAGAUGCAUACCUCAAUGGCAAAGUCUAAAAAUAGUAUCAAUCAAAACUUGCCCAGAGGUAAAGUUUGCACCACGUAUCCUUUGUUUCUGAGGUAAGUUCCCUACCGGUGCGCCCCGGCUCACAGUGAGUCAAAAUCCAUAAAAAACGGCAAAAAACCCCCAAUAAAAAACUUUUGCUAGAAAAUAAUUAAUUAAAUUAUAA